rnacentral:snRNA from 1 species
AAGGACUUUGAAAAGAGAGU